rnacentral:rRNA from 1 species
AUUGAACGCUGGCGGCAGGCUUAACACAUGCAAGUCGAGCGGGGGAAGGUAGCUUGCUACUGGACCUAGCGGCGGACGGGUGAGUAAUGCUUAGGAAUCUGCCUAUUAGUGGGGGACAACAUCUCGAAAGGGAUGCCAAUACCGCAUACGUCCUACGGGAGAACGCAGGGGCUCUUCGGACCUUGCGCUAAUAGAUGAGCCUAAGUCGGAUUAGCUAGUUGGUGGGGUAAAGGCCUACCAAGGCGACGAUCUGUAGCGGGUCUGAGAGGAUGAUCCGCCACACUGGGACUGAGACACGGCCCAGACUCCUACGGGAGGCAGCAGUGGGGAAUAUUGGACAAUGGGGGGAACCCUGAUCCAGCCAUGCCGCGUGUGUGAAGAAGGCCUUAUGGUUGUAAAGCACUUUAAGCGAGGAGGAGGCUACUCUAGUUAAUACCUAGGGAUAGUGGACGUUACUCGCAGAAUAAGCACCGGCUAACUCUGUGCCAGCAGCCGCCGUAACAC